AGUUGGUGGGGUAAUGGCCUACCAAGACGAUGAUGUGUAGCCGGGCUGAGAGGUCGAACGGCCACAUUGGGACUGAGACACGGCCCAAACUCCUACGGGAGGCAGCAGUAAGGAAUUUUCGGCAAUGGAGGAAACUCUGACCGAGCAAUGCCGCGUGAACGAUGAAGUAUUUCGGUACGUAAAGUUCUUUUAUUAGGGAAGAAAAGAUGGUGGAAAAACCAUUAUGACGGUACCUAAUGAAUAAGCCCCGGCUAACUAUGUGCCAGCAGCCGCGGUAAUACAUAGGGGGCAAGCGUUAUCCGGAAUUAUUGGGCGUAAAGGGUGCGUAGGCGGUUAAAUAAGUUUAUGGUCUAAGUGCAACGCUCAACGUUGUGAUGCUAUAAAAACUGUUUAGCUAGAGUUGGAUAGAGGCAAGUGGAAUUCCGUGUGUAGUGGUAAAAUGCGUAAAUAUACGGAGGAACACCAGAAGCGAAGGCGGCUUGCUGGGUCUUAACUGACGCUGAGGCACGAAAGCGUGGGGAGCAAACAGGAUUAGAUACCCUGGUAGUCCACGCCCUAAACGAUGAGUACUAAACGUUGGAUAAAACCAGUGUUGAAGUUAACACAUUAAGUACUCCGCCUGAGUAGUACGUACGCAAGUAUGAAACUUAAAGGAAUUGACGGGACUCCGCACAAGCGGUGGAUCAUGUUGUUUAAUUCGAAGGUACCCGAAAAACCUCACCAGGUCUUGACAUGCUUUUGCAAAGCUGUAGAAAUACAGUGGAGGUUAUCAGAAGCACAGGUGGUGCAUGGUUGUCGUCAGCUCGUGUCGUGAGAUGUUGGGUUAAGUCCCGCAACGAGCGCAACCCUUGUUGUUAAUUGCCAUCAUUAAGUUGGGGACUUUAGCAAGACUGCCAAUGAUAAAUUGGAGGAAGGUGGGGACGACGUCAAAUCAUCAUGCCCCUUAUGACCUGGGCUACAAACGUGAUACAAUGGCUGUUACAAAGGGUAGCUAAAGCGUAAGCUUUUGGCGAAUCUCAAAAAAGCAGUCUCAGUUCGGAUUGAAGUCUGCAACUCGACUUCAUGAAGUUGGAAUCGCUAGUAAUCGCGAAU
rnacentral:rRNA from 1 species